GCCCUGCGGAAGGUGUGUGUCUGUGAUCACGUGAGGGCUGCAGUGAUGCUCUCGUGUUUCAGAAGCUGAGCUACGUUUCAGAAAGGAGGGGCAGAUCUGAUUGGUCCAGCAUGGGAAGAUGUCAACUGGAGUUGAUAAUAUUAGUGUACCCUCUCACUCUAUUAGCUGGUCUGCUAUAACAACUGUGUUCUUCCAGUAACAAGUACAGAUAUUCUAUUUUCUGUGAAUGACUGCUAUUGAAUUAAUGCAUUUGGAUAACUGUUGAAAAAGCGAUGGUUGAAAAGGGGUUUGACCUUUGGUAGACUUUAGAUGGUACGGGUAGAGUUUAUCUAACACCGAAAGCUGAUAAUGUGCUUCGCAUGCACCGUGUUUAACUAUGGUGGGUCAUUCAUGUUAAAAAAAAGAAGGGCAGGAGGCAGUAAUCUGCUGCUUCUGCAAACUAAUAAGUGGGGCUGAUUCUUCAGGAGAAGAUGUGAAGAAUGUCCCUUCUUGAAACCUGGGUUGUAUAGGGAAAAGGCUGCAGCACACAUGUGGCAUUUAAUUUUUUAAAUACUCCCCUUUGCCCUAAAGUUGUGAAUCUCUUAAAUUCCAACAUGAGAAAUUGCUAAACAUAAGAAAAACAGCCAAACUUUCCCCUCCCUGCAAUUCUACCAUACACAAACCUCCAAAACUUCUCAUAUUAUCUGAGCAUCUGGAACACUGAGCUGGGGGGAACAUGGUUUUAAAAGUUUUUUUUUUUAACAAAAAAUCCCUAACUCUAAUCUACAACCCCUUUCAGACCUGCCUCUAGGGAGAAACCCACCAAUUACUAUUUACUUUACCAACCUAGAGUGAUUUGUGGAUGUAUGUAAGAAUUAUUUACGGUUUCAUGCAGGAAAAACUUUCAGCUCCCUAUUUGCCCUUGUAAGUAAUGAGUUGCCUCAGGGGAUCAAAGGUCAGAUUUUGGUUUUAAUGCCCACCUCUUUUUAAAAAAUAAAUAAAGCAAUCUAUGUGAAAAGAAGAAGAAAAAAAAACAGCCAGGGAACAAUUUGUAAAAGAAGAUGUGUUCGGGGGUCAGUGUCUGAGGUUCCUGAAAGUGUUUCCAUGGAACUCAUGCCUAGAGCACCCCUUUCUUGUUUUUACCAACAAAUAGGACAAAGAAAUGCCCUGACCCAGUGGAGGCCAUGUGUGGGGUUAGCACCCUUCCGUGCUACCCCCAGGACUGCAUUAAGCUCAAAUGAGAUGAACUGUUGGGAAUGACUUUAAAAGUCUGACAGACACUUUAUGCCUGUAUGGAGCAGUACUCCCAGUGCAAUCAGCUUAGUCAUGUCAUAAUAUUUUAAAACUACAUCGUUAAUAAAUUAUUUUUACCAC
rnacentral:lncRNA from 7 species